rnacentral:rRNA from 1 species
AUGCAACGCCUAGACUCUCUGGUCCCUGCAUUGGCUUCCCGUCCUGUCCCUGCUUGGCUUCGUGGUAGAUGUUGCAGAUGCCUCCUUCCUGGUCACCGUGUAGCGGUUUGUCGAGAUCUUUUUAGGUGUUCUCGGUGCCUUGAGAAUGGUCAUCGAGCACGUGAGUGCCGCAAUCCCUGGCGUCCCCUCAGCUUUUUGGGAAGCCCUACCGUGUCACUGUUGCCACGCCUCCCCGGGCACCAACAAGCUCUAGCUCCUCGCAAGGUCCAGAAAGAAGCCUCGCCCCUCCCGAAGACGUUUUGUCGUGAUUCUUGGGCAUCGAUUGUUGCUGCUCCUGCUGGCUCUAUGGCCUCGACGGAUUUCCCUGUGCGGCCUGCCUUGGAGCGGCAGGCCAAGCUGUCACUCUGA